rnacentral:rRNA from 1 species
AGAGUUUGAUCCUGGCUCAGGAUGAACGCUGGCGGCGUGCCUAACACAUGCAAGUCGAACGGAGAUUACGGACGGAAGUUUUCGGAUGGAAGUUUGUAAUUCUUAGUGGCGGACGGGUGAGUAACGCGUGGGCAACCUGCCCUAUACAGGGGGAUAGCAGCUGGAAACGGCUGGUAAGACCGCAUAAGUCGGUUAAAUCGCAUGAUUUGAUCGGGAAAUGAGCAAUCAGGUAUAGGAUGGGCCCGCGUCCGAUUAGCCAGUUGGCAGGGUAAAAGCCUACCAAAGCGACGAUCGGUAGCCGGACUGAGAGGUCGGACGGCCACAUUGGGACUGAGACACGGCCCAAACUCCUACGGGAGGCAGCAGUGGGGAAUAUUGGACAAUGGGGGCAACCCUGAUCCAGCGACGCCGCGUGAGUGAAGAAGUAUUUCGGUAUGUAAAGCUCUAUCAGCAGGGAAGAAAAUGACGGUACCUGACUAAGAAGCCCCGGCUAACUACGUGCCAGCAGCCGCGGUAAUACGUAGGGGGCAAGCGUUAUCCGGAUUUACUGGGUGUAAAGGGAGCGCAGGCGGUUUUGCAAGUUGAGAGUGGAAGCAGGGGGCUCAACCCCCUGACUGCUCCCAAAACUGUAAAACUUGAGUAUGGGAGAGGCAGGCGGAAUUCCUAGUGUAGCGGUGAAAUGCUUAGAUAUUAGGAAGAACACCGGUGGCGAAGGCGGCCUGCUGGACCAAAACUGACGCUGAGGCUCGAAAGCGUGGGUAGCAAACAGGAUUAGAUACCCUGGUAGUCCACGCUGUAAACGAUGAAUACUAGGUGCUGGGAGGCAUAAGCCUUUCGGUGCCGUCGCAAACGCAUUAAGUAUUCCACCUGGGGAGUACGUUCGCAAGAAUGAAACUCAAAGGAAUUGACGGGGACCCGCACAAGCGGUGGAGCAUGUGGUUUAAUUCGACGCAACGCGAAGAACCUUACCCGGUCUUGAGAUCCUCCUGAAUACUGAGUAAUGUCGGUAGUCCUUCGGGACAGGAGAGACAGGUGGUGCAUGGUUGUCGUCAGCUCGUGUCGUGAGAUGUUGGGUUAAGUCC